rnacentral:rRNA from 1 species
ACUCCUACGGGAGGCAGCAGUGAGGAAUAUUGGUCAAUGGAGGGAACUCUGAACCAGCCAUCCGCGUGUAGGAAGACGGGCCUUAUGGGUUGUAAACUUACUUUUAUACAGGAAGAAACGUACCCUCGUGAGGGUGCCUGACGGUACUGUAGGAAUAAGCACCGGCUAACUCCGUGCCAGCAGCCGCGGUAAUACGGAGGGUGCGAGCGUUAUCCGGAUUUAUUGGGUUUAAAGGGUCCGUAGGGCGGAUUAAUAAGUCAGUGGUGAAAUCCCAUCGCUUAACGAUGGAACUGCCAUUGAUACUGUUAGUCUUGAAUAGGGUGCAG